rnacentral:rRNA from 1 species
CGUUCUUAGUUCGUGGAGUGAUCUGUCUGCUUAAUUGCGUUUCAAAUGUAUUUUUGAUUUAUCAAACGAGUCUACGAAGAUGUCUAUUCAUACAAGCACUUCAUUUAUGAUUUGUUUGGAAUACGACUCUUUCGGCUCAAUUGAACGCAACGGACGUGAUUGCAAGUCCUUGUUGAACUUCUGUAUAUAUCAUUUACAUUCUUAACUGAGUGUAUCUAAGAUAAUAGAGUUCGCUUUCUAUUGGUGACGGGAUCUCCAAUCACUUUCGAGUGAGAGUGAGUGAUCUAAUCCUUUAGGAAAACUCGGGCGACCGCUGUAAUACUUUCUUUUUAAAACAGAGGAAGAUUGCGGCAAUAACAGGUCUGUGAUGCCCUCAGAUGUCCCGGGCCGCACACGUGCUACAUUGAUUAGCGCAGUGCGCAUACUUUCAAUAUGAUACAUUGGUUUUGGUAGUAAGCUAUUCAUCUGAUGGAUAUGCUACUCUCCAUACCAAUACUAUCUAGUCUGAAAAGACUGGGUAAUCUAUUGUAAGUGCUGGUUCCUCUUCCCGUUGAGCAUUUUAAUAAUGGUCUCUCUACGUCCCUA